AGCGAACGCUGGCGGCGUGCCUAAUACAUGCAAGUCGAACGAGAAAGUGGCUUCGGCCAUGAGUACAGUGGCAGACGGGUGAGUAAUACUUAGGUAACCUACCCUUAAGAUGGGGACAACCUUCCGAAAGGAGGGCUAAUACCGAAUGAGACCACAGUGACUUCGGUCACAGGGGUUAAAGAUGGCCUCUACUUGUAAGCUAUCACUUAAGGAUGGGCCUAAGCACCAUUAGCUUGUUGGUGAGGUAACGGCUCACCAAGGCUGUGAUGGUUAGCUGAUCUGAGAGGUUGAUCAGCCACACUGGAACUGAGACACGGUCCAGACUCCUACGGGAGGCAGCAGUAGGGAAUAUUGCGCAAUGGACGAAAGUCUGACGCAGCGACGCCGCGUGGGUGAUGAAGGCUUUCGGGUCGUAAAGCCCUGUCAGGAGGACGAAAGACCAUUUGGCUAAUAUCCAAGUGGAGUGACGGUACCUCCGGAGAAGCACCGGCUAACUACG
rnacentral:rRNA from 1 species